GGUCACGGAAGAACUUGCACGUGCCGCGAUGUCAGGAGGUGACACGUGCGUUGAAUUAGUGUUCCACGUGUCUCGACAGUUUCAUAUGCGAGCCGCGCGUCCACGUUUCCUUCGACUAUAUACGUGUUAGCAGUUUUCGCGAGAGGAUAGUACCGUAACCAGGAUACGUGUUCUUGCGGAUGAGAAACGGCAGAAAAAGAAAAAUCUACGAAUGCUCUUAACUCGUAGUCGAUUCGAACGCUAAGAUGAAAGAACCGAAGGAACGCGUCGAACCUACGCACCGUAAACACGAGAAAUGGGUCUACGGGAUGAGUCAUCGUCGUCGUCGCGACCAGCCAGCCAUCCAAAGAAACGAUCUUUCCUCUUCGUCCCGGUGGACAAGACGUGGCCGAGACAGGGGCUCGAUGCUCACGGGAGAUCGAAUUCUAGUCGCAUCUGCGGAUUAUUACGAGUCUCCCGCUUGCGUUUCAGCUGCAAAAAAAGAGACGAGAGGCACCGUCGGCGGACAGCUCUUCCGUCCAUUAUCGACGAUCCGGCGUGCAUAUACGGCGCGAAACACGUCCUAAAACCGGUUCUCCCGAUCGGUUCUGCGAACCGCAUGCGCCAUCGGAUCCGGGUACCCACACGACUCCAUCUCCGCCUUCUUCUUCGUCUUCCCGACUCGACGUGCACGCUUCUCUCUUCCUUCUCCACAGUCUGUUUCCUCCGUGCGAACUUCACCGACACCGGGCCAGCCGAGCUUCUUUCCUGCCGCCGCCGGUUGCAGUUGCAAGCAGCGACUUCCGCGACCCGCGAACGAGAUGUGCGGAUGUGGGCCGGACCGGACUCGCGCCUUACCUACGCCAUAUUUUAGGCGUUAGGCGCGUCGUAGGCAGGGCCACGAACAUACAUCAUCGCGUUAUCGCCUCUCUGUCCAACUCCUGCCGAUAGUCUCUCGAGGAAACUUCCGAAUAUCCGCGUGGUACAAGACCGAAGGUGGUAUUUUCGCGCUGGAUUAUUUGGAAUUUCGCACGUAAAAUUUAACGAUUUAGAAGAUAUAAAGGGAUAAAGGUGUAGACUUGCAGAGUUAGGUUUAAGAUUAUAGUUUUAGAAAACUAGGUUGGAAUGGAAUAAUCGUUCUGUAUUUUACGAUAUUAAGAAUGCGUAAUAUUAGUCUGAAUCGUUAAACCGUUGGAAACAUUGUAUGUUUUUCCAGAGUUAAAAGUACAUGAGGUUAUAUAAAAAUCUUCUAUUAAGCCGCAAUCUAUCAGUCUAAUAGCAAAUGGCCAGAGUAGAACUUUGUGCGUGUUAAAUGUUUUUCUUCUGUCUAAAUUAUCGAAAUUUACAUUUCAGCUUUAGUUUCCGAGGCUAAUUAUAAGCUGGAAGAAUUCAACAAGUUUUACUUGACCAAUUAACGCAAAUUCGAAAGAACAAUCGAUUUUCUUAACAAUCAUUGCUAAUUCGAUAUACUUUUUCACUAUCUUUUCAACCCUAACUUUUCUUAAAAGUAUUCUCAUGCCGUUUCUCUUUAAAUCACCCUCGUUUAAACAGGAUUUCGAACUUUCGAAAUUCAGCGCUGCCAGAGAAAGAUUACUCGUUAAAACGAGCUAUUAUUUCGUCAAACAUGCCUGUGUUCCUUUAAAAAUUUCAAUCAUAAAACAACCCUAAGCCGAAUAAACCUGCCCAUUUUAUUAUUUAUUAGCAUCUUUCUUGUAACGUCUGUUUUCCUCAAGAAGGGAGUUCACGGGGCUCAUGAGAGGGAAUUAAGGAAAUUUCGCCGCCGUCGAAACGAUUUCGCGGAAACUUAGUGAGGAUCGUGCGCGAAAGGAAGCGGAAGUUUCUACGGUGUACAGGCUGGCACACGGUUACCACGAAACGCCAUCCAUCACGAGACUGAUCGUCGGCAUGUAUCACGUAUUUUUCGAGGCUCUGUAAGUUGGAAACGUGCGCGGUGCGGCACUCGACACCCGGUUUUAUCGUAAGCAUUAGUUUCGUUCGCCUCUGCCCGUACGUGACAUUACCCGACACGGAUCAGUCAACUCUAUCUCGUUCCAAACCCUCCAUAACUCGAAUUUCGAGAAAAGAGUCGUAAUGGAUUACGACUCUUUUAUUUUGAUCUGAAAUCUAGAAACUGAUGAAGUCAUUUUAAAAUUGUGUUCUAGGAUUAAUUAUUGUCGAAAACGUACUGUUGAACAUUUUGAAAAUAUAAAUUGUCACGAUAUUAUUACAAAACUUCGUGGAUUACUAAUACACAUAGAGUGCAUUAUAUUUAAAAAAUAGCGUUCGUUUGAUCCUUACAAAAUUCUUCAUACUGAAUUUCGUAAGUAAAAAGAACACUGCGCCAGUUACGAAUUAAAAUUCAUAAAACUUCCGACAAAAUUAUACGAUGAAAUUAUACGUAUACAUGUGUAUAUGUAUUUGUAACGAAACACAAAACUACCAUUGGUUUUAAUUAUAAACGUAUAAGCGUAUAUGUAACGUAACUCCUUAAAAUGAGUCGGGGUCGUUUAAAAAUACGAAAAACAAUUUGCACAGACUAGAGACACGUCUCUCAUAACAGCCUCGUAAAUGGAACGGUAGAAAACAUCAGAUCCACAAGAGCUAACGCGAAGAACGUGGCAUAAAAGCUCGCUGAAACGACAACAGUUAAAGGGAAGUUUAGCGUCGCGAGGCUGAGCCAAGGCGACCACCGAAAUAAACUACGGAGCGACAGUUCCCAAGCUUUUUAAGGAGAAUUCGAAAAGAACGAGAGACGGUCUUGAGUUGUAAAACUUUCCCUAGCAUCGCGUGUUGUUGUCCAUUCCGCGUCUAUGAUGUAAUAGUCAUAAUCAAAACAGGAUUUACUGUCUGCGCAGAAAGAAACGUUUCGCGCCAGACUAACGUUCUUUUCCUAGCGCGCGCGAAAAAAGUUACGAGCUUCACACAGUCGAAACAAUGUUACCAGUUAUCUACGAAUACACAAAGUUUAUAAAA